rnacentral:tRNA from 1 species
AUUCCUUUAGUAUUAAUUAGUACGGCUGACUUCCAAUCAGCCAGUCUCGGAAAUACCCGAGGAGGAAUA